GGACAAUGAACUUAGAUCAUUUUGACCUCAAAUUCAGGUAGGACCUAC
rnacentral:rRNA from 1 species